GUCUACGGCCAUGCCACCCUGAACAUGCCCGAUCUCGUCUGAUCUCGGAAGCUAAGCAGGGUCAGGCCUGGUUAGUACUUGGAUGAGAGACCACCUAGAAAUACUGGAUGCUGUAGGCG
rfam:Pteropus alecto contig168981, whole genome shotgun sequence.